GAUUAGAUACCCUGGUAGUCCACGCCGUAAACGAUGUCGACUUGGAGGUUGUGCCCUUGAGGCGUGGCUUCCGGAGCUAACGCGUUAAGUCGACCGCCUGGGGAGUACGGCCGCAAGGUUAAAACUCAAAUGAAUUGACGGGGGCCCGCACAAGCGGUGGAGCAUGUGGUUUAAUUCGAUGCAACGCGAAGAACCUUACCUGGCCUUGACAUCCAGAGAACUUAGCAGAGAUGCUUUGGUGCCUUCGGGAACUCUGAGACAGGUGCUGCAUGGCUGUCGUCAGCUCGUGUUGUGAAAUGUUGGGUUAAGUCCCGCAACGAGCGCAACCCUUAUCCUUUGUUGCCAGCGGCUCGGCCGGGAACUCAAAGGAGACUGCCGGUGAUAAACCGGAGGAAGGUGGGGAUGACGUCAAGUCAUCAUGGCCCUUACGGCCAGGGCUACACACGUGCUACAAUGGCGCAUACAAAGAGAAGCGACCUCGCGAGAGCAAGCGGACCUCAUAAAGUGCGUCGUAGUCCGGAUUGGAGUCUGCAACUCGACUCCAUGAAGUCGGAAUCGCUAGUAAUCGUAGAUCAGAAUGCUACGGUGAAUACGUUCCCGGGCCUUGUACACACCGCCCGUCACACCAUGGGAGUGGGUUGCAAAAGAAGUAGGUAGCUUAACCUUCGGGA
rnacentral:rRNA from 1 species